GACGUAGGAUGCAAGCGUUGUCCGGAUUUAUUGGGCGUAAAGAGUUCGUAGGUGGUUUGUUAAGUCUGAUGUUAAAGACUGGGGCUCAACCUCGGAAAUGCAUUGGAUACUGGCAGACUUGAGUGUGGUAGAGGCAGUCGGAAUUCCAGGUGUAGCGGUGAAAUGCGCAGAUAUCAGGAGGAACACCGGUGGCGAAGGCGGGUCUCUGGGCCGAUACUGACGCUGAGGAGCGAAAGCGUGGGGAGCGAACAGG
rnacentral:rRNA from 1 species